CGGGCGACGGGCGACGCCGCCUUCCCUCACCACAACGGACGCAGGCGGACGGGUCUCCCCUGGUUUCUCGCUGAACGACACAGGCAGAGCCCCACUGUCGCAAGAAUGGACAAGGAAAAGGGGAAGGAGAGGAGGAGGAGAAGGAGAAAGAGAGGAAUUUGGUUUCCAUUAUGAAGGCUAAGCCGCCUGCCCCUGGAAGCAGAAGGGGAAGGGCAAGGGCUGUGUCGCUGCCAAGGAAGCGGGCCAAGGAUUACGGCAAUGUCCCGCUCGCCGAGUUGUUAUUAUGGGUAAAAAAAAGCUCCACCGCCUUGACGUCUUGCUGACCCCGCCGACGCCAGCGGGCGUGCCACGAUCGCCCCUGCCAACGGCUUCGCAAACGACUCCGAGAGGCAUCUUCACCGGUAUGGUUGUGCCAAAUAUGCGUGUCCAACCUCAUGUGUUUGCUGUUUUUGCUAUCCAAAGGCAAUGGAGCAUGAUAAGCAAGCAGAGAAGGAUUAUGAAGAGGAGGAAGAGAAUGAGGAGGAAGAGGAUGAGUAAGAUACUUUGUUUGAGGAGAAAGAUUCUCAUUUUGAUGUCAAAGCACUAAGUGUUAUGCUAUGCAAAAUUGCAUUGUUUGGCUGUCAACGUUCAAUAUUUUUGCCGUAUAAAGUUCAAAGGAGGAGCUGUCCAAAAUUCAAAAGCAAUGAUGCCCAAUUCUUUCUUAGUCAUAUUUGUUCAAUUUCUACACUUUCCAUAGAAGAAAGCUUAUUUUUCAUCACUA